GUUUGAUUCUUUGUAACCCAGCAUUUGGGACUCUCCUGGUGGUUUUGUGAUAAAGAAUCUGCCUUCCAAUGCAGGAGAUGCCAGUUCAAUCCCUGGGUCAGGAAGAUCCCCUGGAGAAGCGAAUGGCAACCCACUCCAGUAUUCUUGCCUGGAGAAUCCCAUGGACAGAGGAGCCAGUCCGUGGGAUCACAGUCCGUGGGCUACAGUCCGUGGGACCACAGAAGAGUUAGACAUGACAGAGUGGCUAAACAACAACAACAACCCAGCAUUUAGAAAACACACGUGCUACACAAUCCUAUUUUUCCCAACUUGAAAUCUGUUUCCACGCCAGGACACAGACUGGGAGCUGCUGCUAACGUCUCUCACAAUGUCAGCCCCUCUGGAAUUCCUGACCAGGCUUCUCUUCCCUGUCAUCCAUUCCAGGAAUUCACAAACUUCUUCUGUGAAGAAGUAAAUAUUAGGGAGUAUUUUCAGUUUUGUGGGCCAAGAGGCAAAGCUGAGGAAUAGCACAUCAGUGCUUAUGUAACAAGACAGAAAACACAUUUCCGUGUACUUUUUACUGGCAGGGUUCAGAACUUCAUUGAUGAGCACUGAAAUUUGAACCUUGUAUGAUUUUCACAUGUCACAAAAUAUCAUUCUUCUUAUUUUCUUUCCAUCAACUUUUUAAAAGUGUGAAAGCUGAUCACACGCAACAAGGCAGUGGGUGGAACUGGGAGCAGCCUGUAGUUUGGCCAGCCGUGACCUCCCACACAGCACCAAGAAGUCACAUCUCCUGGAGUCCAGUUCCUAGAGCAUCUGUGCUGAAGGACUGUUCAGAGACUCUGCUUGCCCUUCCAGAAAAAACAAGGAAGAGAGGAGGGUACACACACCCACACGGAUCAGCUGCCUCCGUGUUACAAAAGCAAUUCUUAUCAGCAUUAAAGUUGCAACAGCCACGCAGAAGACACUGGGAGGUUUUCCUUGUACAAGAACAAAACUGAGAGAUGAAAAUGCCGUCGCAAGCAUAAAGAAAGUUAUUAUGAAAUCUGCUCGAGCCUCAUGUUUCUCUAGUGAUUCAAGAUAAUCGCAUUAGUGGCUUCAAACAUUAUACAGUGACAUCAUUCCACAAGAUAGCUCCCAGAGGUUGGAUAUCAGAGCAGGGAAUUACCAUCUGUCACAUGUCUGUGACACACCUGACGGUCUGACCUGAUUUGUUACCACCAGGAGCUCGUGUGGGUCUCUCCAACUGUGGUCACCUUUCUUGCUUAACGAUCCUGUCUGACUAUGAAGGACCCCCGUGGAACCCAUAACCUCUCAUUGGAAUAAGGGAUGGGGAACUCCUUACGACCCAAGGUCAAGUGAGCGAGGUGUUGACCUUCUCAUUGCCCAGGGUCUGUCAUUCACAGAGCAAGUGGGAAAACCUCCCCGCAUCUCACAGACUGGUUUGAGCCUCACUAGACUGCAGGUGAAGUAUUGCUAUUCAGGAAACAGGCCCAGGUUGGCUAACCUGUUGUGCUUCUUUCUGGAUAUGGGACGCUGCUCACUUGGGUGGUUGUGAGAAUUACAUGAAAUAAUGUACGUAAAGUAUUUAACACAAUGCUUGGCAUAGAGCAAGUAUUUAAUAAACAUUAGCUAGGAGGGUUAUUAAAAUUUGAAAUAACGCAGGAGCACCCAUGAGGGAGGGUUUGCAGGAAUCUAAUACUCCCAUGACUGUCUCAGUGUCACUCUGGGCUCCUCCUUCUCUGCUGUCCAUGGAGCAGAUAUAUGUGGGGCCCAUACUGCUCAGGCCAACUCAGCUAUCACAGCAGCUUCAGCAGACAGUUCCCACCCACACUCACUGGCUCCCUUCUCCAGCCCGGGUGCAUGGUCAGCCUGUGUUCUGGGCAGCCUGGGAGUUGCAGAGUGACACCCCCUGGA
ensembl:lncRNA